CCUACGGGUGGCAGCAGUGGGGAAUAUUGCACAAUGGGGGAAACCCUGAUGCAGCGACGCCGCGUGAGUGAAGAAGUAUUUCGGUAUGUAAAGCUCUAUCAGCAGGGAAGAAAAUGACGGUACCUGACUAAGAAGCCCCGGCUAACUACGUGCCAGCAGCCGCGGUAAUACGUAGGGGGCAAGCGUUAUCCGGAUUUACUGGGUGUAAAGGGAGCGUAGACGGCAGUGCAAGUCUGAAGUGAAAGGCGAUGGCUUAACCAUGGUACUGCUGUGGAAACUGUACGGCUGGAGUGCAGGAGAGGUAAGUGGAAGUCCUAGUGUAGCGGUGAAAUGCGUAGAUAUUAGGAGGAACACCAGUGGCGAAGGCGGCUUACUGGACUGUAACUGACGUUGAGGCUCGAAAGCGUGGGGAGCAAACAGGAUUAGAUACCCCGGUAGUC
rnacentral:rRNA from 1 species